rnacentral:tRNA from 1 species
GAGAAGCGUUUCCGGUGGGGCGUCCGGACUUCAAAUCCGGGUGGGGCCGUCAGACGGUCCCAGGUGGGUUCGACUCCCGCUCUCUUCC